rnacentral:rRNA from 1 species
CCUCAAAUCAGGUAGGACUACCCGCUGAACUUAAGCAUAUCAAUAAGCGGAGGAAAAGAAACUAACAAGGAUUCCCCUAGUAACUGCGAGUGAAGCGGGAAAAGCUCAAAUUUAAAAUCUGGCGGCUUCGCCGUCCGAGUUGUAAUCUGGAGAAGCGUUUUCCGUGUUGGACCGUGUACAAGUCUCCUGGAACGGAGCGUCGUAGAGGGUGAGAAUCCCGUCUUUGACACGGACAACCGGGGCUAUGUGAUACGCUCUCGAAGAGUCGAGUUGUUUGGGAAUGCAGCUCAAAAUGGGUGGUGAACUCCAUCUAAAGCUAAAUAUUGGCGAGAGACCGAUAGCGAACAAGUACCGUGAGGGAAAGAUGAAAAGCACUUUGGAAAGAGAGUGAAACAGUACGUGAAAUUGCUGAAAGGGAAACGCUUGAAGUCAGUCGCGUCCUUCGGAAUUCAGCCCCCGUGGUGUACUUUCCGUCGGACGGGCCAGCAUCACUUUCGACCGCCGGAAAAAGGCGGGGGGAAAUGUGGCACCUUCGGGGUGUGUUAUGACCCCUCGUGUUA